CUUACCUAUUGUUAGAGAAGAAGACAUGCAAAAAAGAGGAGAAAUGACCCUCAUAAGUCACCAAUUGUCACCUUAUUAAACACACUCUCAGACACAAAUACGCACAAUGAUUGCAGAGUUGUUGCCUGCAGAAUAGCAGGCCUUCCAGAGCUAUCAUACCUAUUGCAGAGAAGAAGCCAUGCAAAGAAGAGGGAAAAUGACACUUGUAAGUCACCGAACAUCAACUUAAUACACACCACUUUCAUACACACAUAUGUAGUGAUUGCUAGAUUGGUUGCAUGCAGAACAGCAGGCCUUCCAGAGCUGCCUUACCUAUUGCUAGAGAAAAUGACAUGCAAAGAAGAGGAGAAAUGACAUAGGUCACCGAUCAUCACCUCAAUACACGCGCACCCUCAAACAUACAUGUAUACAGGAAGAAGAAGACAGAGGAGGAGCGGCUUGUUUACCAACAUCCAAGAUCUGAUAAGUGGAAGAACUUGGUUGUUCACAGAGAUCCAAGAACCGGCUUUUCUGAGAAGUGGGUGGUCUUUUAUAUAGUAUUGCAUUAAAUAAGUGGGUUCAUCAGCACAUUGAAAUAUUACCCAAAUUUACCCCAAGAAGGGUUGCAACCAAUUAAGAAUUAACAACACUUUUUAGAUCAAGAUCAGGACAGCUCAGUGAGGCAUGCAUGGUUUAAUUUAGUGCACCACUCUUUAAAUUGAUGUCCAGAACUAUGUGUUUACAGUUUUCAAUAGAUUUGAAAGUGAAAUCUUCUCUCCAAAAUUGCCACUGUAUCCAUGCAAGCAUGCUAAAUGGUGACAAGAAUCACACAUUUAAAGAAUAAUGUCAAGUGAUUGGCUUAUUAUUAAGCUGGGCUAGUAGUUUGCCUCUAUAUUUUCUUAGGAUAUCAUGGAAGUUUGAACACCACUUGCACAUCUCAUUUAUUUAUUUUAAGUUGAUGGCUUACAUCAUUUUACUCUUACAACAAAGACUAAUUUUGAUCCAUAUCAUUGAUACUUAGAGCUAUGCUUAAAUACAUACUCGAUCUCACUACCGUGAAUGAGACUUCUAUUUAUGUCAUUAAAAUUAAAAAGAUUAAGAAAACUCACAAGUCUAGGAAAAGUAAAUAACCAUUGCCCACAUCCUCCCUCAGUACCAUACCAUAUUUAUGCAGAAUGUUAUCUUCAAAAAUUUGCCAUAAACAAUAUUUCUUUGGGUUAUAAGGAAUAUAACAGAGGGAGUAAGAUAAAGUCCCAAUGGAGAAGGAUAGUACCAAAUCUCGCAAGCUAAACCAGCCAACCCAUUCCCAUAUCACAUGUCUCUUUACUUCUCUUGUUUGUUCAGUAUUUUCACACUAACCUUUAAUAUUAUAAUGCAAGCAGACACACAUCUAGUAAUUCCAACCAAUUGAUCGCAGGAACCAAAUUUGUUCUCACCUGGCACAUGAUAAUGUUACCAUCAUUAGAAGAUGAAGCCAAACACAGAUCCACUCCUAUGAUUAUCAAAGGCAUGUAACAAAGCAGUAGAAAUUUCUGAUACCUGCUAGACUAUUCACACAAUAAAAUCAUACGAUAAUAAGCAACAAAUGUUAGAUAAUCUACAGCAAAAUGUCCAAAUCCUUGGGCAGCAUUCAGAGAACAAAAACAAAACAAAAAAGAAAAAGAGCAUCAUCAGGUUAGGAACAAAUAGCAUAAUCCUUUUGAGCAAUAAUUAUUCUUGAGUACUGUACUAAUGAAAAAGAUGAAAUACAAGACAUGUCAUAGGCACAAGGUAGAUAUACAUAAUUAAAACUAUUCUAGAUUCUCCUACAGCACCACAAUUAUUUCAGACAAGCUUAAAAGAACCUUUUAUCACCAUUAGUUCCACUGCCCAAUACAUUUGCUGUCACCACCAUCCAUAUGAUCUUUUUUUAACCACAAUUAUUUUUAUAGGAAGAUCCCCUGCAAAAAAAAUUAGUUUCAUAAAUAGCCACAUUAGCAAUUGAACAUGAAAAAUCAGACAAUAAAUGCCUAUGUUAAUAAGCUGCCCAUGGACAUAUAGCACUCAAAUAUACCAAGAAAAAUGCUAGUAAGAAUGGUCCUAUUCUUUCGCACACAGAGUAUGAAUUGAAGUGAUACCUCAAAUUUUGCAACAAAUAGGACAAAAUUUUCUCUUUAUGCAGUAAUAAGCAAUCACGUCACAUCAACUUAACAAAAAAUGUAUAAUACAAUGUAGCUUACCCAUGUGACAGCAUACACCAUAAGAAAUGCUUAUGGAUUGUAUUCUCUAAUUUAACCAUGGCCAACAAGCUUCAGCAAUUAGUUUUAUUAAUAAAAAUAAUUGUCGUCACCAUUUUUUAUGAUCGAUUCAUCACAAUAUUUUUCUCCUUUCCAGGUUAAUCUAGUCAAAAGCAAUUUAACUCCCUCUACAAUCAAACACAAAGUAUAUACACAUGCAUAUGUAUAUAUUUUUACUACCUUAAACAUUCAAUUAAAGCAAGGCAACAUCUUGUGAGUUUUUCAUGACCCAGUUAGGAACUGCAAGUAGUAAGUUGAUGAAAUCUUUGAAUACAAGAUAUCUAUCAUAUUUGAAUAUUGUGUGGAAACUCAUAUAUCUAAAAAUGUUUUGCAUUGGUAAACAUGCAGACUGUAGACAAAGAGGGGAAAGAGAACGAUAAAAGGAAUAAAGAAACUACAAAGGAACUCACCUCCACAGGCAUUUUUGAUCCAAAGGAUUAAGACUAGGAUGGCUUUCAAAGGAUGUGAUUUACAAGAUGAAAAUCAAAGAACAAAAUAUUAAGAUGUGUCUUAAAAUUAGAACUUCCUCAAAUUAGAUGCUUAAGUCCACCAUUCUGAUUGUGAUCUUGAGAAUUUAUUUUUGUUAAAAAAAGUAUUAGAAAAUUCAAGGGAAGUGGGUAACCUUACUCGCGAAAUUUCUUUGCAGCUCCCGUGGCUCCUUCAAUGGUGCAAAGAAACAAACUCCAAUUGGUAUGGCAACAUAAAAUUUUCUUUAGAGGAAUGGAGGAUAGCAUUAAAGAGUUUCCACGUUUUGUCAUAACGUUGGUUAAAGGGAUAUAAAGAAGAUCAGAACCCUUAUUUCCUUGAAUGCUAUUAUAAACCCUAACGCCAAGCGUAUAAUAUCUCGUUCUCGGCAAAAAGAAUAGUUAAUUAGAUGCCUACGUCCACCAUUCUGACUGUGAUCUUGAGAAUUUAUUUUUUUAAAAAAAGUAUUAAAAAGUUCAAGGGAAGUGGGACCUUACCGCGAUAUUUCUUUGCAGCUCCCGGGGCUCCACGAAUUAAAAUUUUCCUUCGAGGAAUGGAGGAUAGCAUUAAAGAGAUUCCAUGUUUUGUCAUAACGUUGGUUUAAGGUUUAAGGGAUAUAGAGAAGAUCAGAACCCUUAUUUCCUCGAAUGCUAUAAACACUAACGCCAAGUAUAUAAUAUCAAGUUCUCAGCAAACAGAAUAGUAAAUCGAAAGAGAAUUUGGGAUCUUGAAACCCUAGUUUGCCAUGAAUUCUUCAGGGGCGAGACCGAUCAUAGUAAAGAAAUUAAGAAAACAUCGAAAAACAAAAUCUUGAAAAAAAAAGAAAUCAGGAAAGCAGAGAAGAGAAAGAGGAACAGGAGGCUCAGAUUAACCAAUCUCUGCUACUAGAUCAAAACGGCCACAAACGAUUGCCUUCACAAGAACAAUUUCACAAGGGAAGAUCAUCCAAGAUUGCCUCGCCGCUUAGAAUGUAGCCAUUUUCCCACUCGACAAUGUAGCAGAACCCUCGUCCAAGAAUCAUCACGGUC